CCUUGGUAUGGCACCUGCCUCACUGUGGAUGUGUGGAUGAGGCCUCCGGAAGGCAGGAGAGAGUCCUGGCUGGCUUAUCUGACAUUUGUUGGGUGAUUUGUCAUUGAAGGCUGUCUCCUUCAGGCAGCUGUGUGCCCCGGUAUUGACUACAGGAUUCAAUUUGGUCUGGCAGGCGCUGGGUAACGGGGAAGCCUGCUAAGAGCAGCUGUGUUAACAGCAUCCCUCUCGAGAGAGGAUUCUCUGAGGAGGGUGAAGAAGGAGGGAGAAGAAGAUACAGAAGAAGAAGAAAAGGGGGAAGAAACAACAACUUGCACACACAUGCACACCCCUGUGUGUCGCUGCUGCCACCGCCACCGCGGCUGUUUGGACGCGUCUAAGAUGGCACCUUGGUGCCCUGCCACAUUCGGUCUCCUUGGUACCGAAGCGGCGCUCAGCUUCUUGUCACUGAGUGGAUGAUGAUUAUCUGCACCAGGGUCUCAAGGGUGCUCAAGCUUUGCUGGCGAUUGGAGCUGAGAUGCUUCAGCUGAAGGAUUUUAAAAGCUGUACAAGGCCAAAGAACCAUUACCAGUCA